CUCUUUUUCUUCUCCUGCCUCUAUUCUCUUCCCUCUCAACUGUGUAAAGUUAAUCAUCUGAUCUUUGAAGAACUAUGUAACGGUAAUCGAUUUUAAGAUUUCGAUCUGUGGUUCGUUAGAUCUGGAACUUUGAUUAACUGAUCUUGAAUCUCAGCUUAGAAGAGGAGGAGGUAUUACGGAGAAUGGAUGUAUCAAAGUGAAGUCAGUGAAGUAAAGAAGUUACAAGGGAAGAUGAGAUGUUUUAGAAGGAACAUGAGAUGUUUUCUGUAAUGGAAUUUAGAAAUCAGUAUUAAGUUGGAUUUCGGUGGUUGCCGGUGUCUGUAAUAGGACAAGAAGUAGCUGCUGGGAAGGAAAUUGAUGGUGGACAAAUGGGUGAUUGUGAAAUAUUCAAUGGGUUCCAGUUUCAUGGAUUUGGUUGUCAUCUUUGUGUUAAGUAAGGUAAAUCCCUUUACUUUUAUGAAACUGAUACUUGAAUGGUAUAACGGUUGGCUACUAUUUGAAUGCAAACAGAGUACAUUGGAUUGAUCUGCCAGUAUUUGGCUAUUGAUACUACUAGGUAGGUUUGAACUCCAUUUCUUGUUAAAUUUUUGAGUCCUAGCUAUUUUAGAUAAAAUGUCCGCAACUUUGUUUCUCUGUUUUGGAAUGUAACAGCAUUUCCACAGAUUAUUAUUCUUAAGAACUUCAAUAACAUCUUCUACUUCAUGUUGAAUCCUCCAUGUUACAAUUAUUUUUCCCUUUGUAACUGCAUUGACUAUCAGCUUCGAAUCCAUUCAAAGUUCAUUCGCCCCAGAUUAAGUUGUUGUGCUCAAUGAACUGCUGCUGAUAAGCUUGCUUUUAUGCAUGUUCCACAUUCACUGGCCUGUCGAGAUACGCACAUUUAGCUCCUCUUGAGAUACCUGCACAAUGACGAAUGCUUGGUCCGAAACCCCCUGAGUUGUGACUCUUUUGAUAAUUUCAGUUUCAGAAAUAUGUCCCGAGUGACAAUCUUCAAACCAGCUGAUUAUCCACUCUUUUAGAUCCUGAUUCUGGUCACUGAUUCUGCCCAUGACAGCAAGCCAAACUGCCCUUGCAAAGUUGCAGGACAUUAACAGAUGUGAAGAAUUUUUGGCUGCAUUACAACCCAUAGGACAAGAGACAUCUAAGUUUCUGUUUUCCACAGAAAUCCUAGUUCUUGUUGGAAGAGCAUCAUGCAGUAAGACAUUUCCAAAUGAAUUGUUGGAUUCUAGGAAGGACUGAAUGAACCUACAAUGGGAAGACCACAGUUGAUGUUUUCGAUGAUGCUCCAAAGCUCAUUACUGGAAACAGAGAACAACUUAGUGAACUAUUGCAUUGCAUAUAGGAUUAGGUACCAACUCGUGCUGAGAUGUAUCGUUGGAGCAGGUGAGGCGAAUUGUUGCAGAUUUGCGAGAGAAACAUUACGCAAGAGAAGGCAAAGACAAUUGCAUGAGUUCUGCGUUUGUUAGUUUUAUCUUAUAUGCUCUCAAGUGAAAACAAAUGUUGUAUGAGCUUUAGGCCGCACAUAACUUAGGCAUUCUCUUAAGUUUCUAAGCAGAUGUUGUAUUCUCUAAAAACUUAGGAAUUCUCUUAAGUUGUUGAAAGAAUAGAACAAGUUAUUAUUAUUAU